CAGCCGCCGCGGUAAUACGUAGGUGGCAAGCGUUGUCCGGAAUUAUUGGGCGUAAAGGGCUCGCAGGCGGUUUCUUAAGUCUGAUGUGAAAGCCCCCGGCUCAACCGGGGAGGGUCAUUGGAAACUGGGAAACUUGAGUGUAGAAGAGGAGAGUGGAAUUCCACGUGUAGCGGUGAAAUGCGUAGAGAUGUGGAGGAACACCAGUGGCGAAGGCGACUCUCUGGUCUGUAACUGACGCUGAGGAGCGAAAGCGUGGGGAGCGAACAGGAUUAGAUACCCCUGUAGUCCCUGUCUCUUAUAC
rnacentral:rRNA from 1 species